rnacentral:rRNA from 1 species
UACGUAUGGUGCAAGCGUUAUCCGGAUUUACUGGGUGUAAAGGGAGCGUAGACGGAGUGGCAAGUCUGAUGUGAAAACCCGGGGCUCAACCCCGGGACUGCAUUGGAAACUGUCAAUCUGGAGUACCGGAGAGGUAAGCGGAAUUCCUAGUGUAGCGGUGGAAUGCGUAGAUAUUAGGAGGAACACCAGUGGCGAAGGCGGCUUACUGGACGGUAACUGACGUUGAGGCUCGAAAGCGUGGGGAGCAAACAGG